rnacentral:lncRNA from 1 species
GGGUUAGCACUGGCUCUCUUUCUUCUUCUAGCACCCACCCCUGCAGUUUUGACUCUGACUUCCCCAUCUUUAUCUUAUAUUAUCUGCUUUUAAAACUCAUUCGUUUGGUCUCGUGUUCCUGCUCUGAGGAUAUUUACAUGGAUUUUGGGAUCAUCUGCAUUAGAUGACAGGAGGCAGACCUUGUGAAGAGUGGUACUGGAGCCUCCAGGUCCUUGAUGACAGACAGAAGCUGAGAGGAGCCAUUCCACCAGCUGCCUUGUUUAUGUGCACAUCUAUGGAGGGCUUGCUCUGCACGGGACACCUUGCUAAGCCCCUCCCAGCUAUCAUCUCAUUUAAUCUUCUCAACAACCUGGAGGUGGGUACCAUUAUUAUCUCUGUUUUGAGAAUGAGGAAAUUGAGUUACAGAGAGGUUAAGUAACUCAUCCAAAGUCACGCAGCUUAUGAGAGAUGAAUCUGGAAGGUGCACCAGAAUCAGGCCUACUCCAGACCCUGAGCUCUUAGCCAGUAUAUUUUGCAUCGUCUCUGUGCCUUCCUGCAUCCCUCAUAGACAAAGUUCCCAUGCUCCUGGGGCUGACAGGCCGCUAAGUGAGCAAGUAAAAUAUUAAGUUACACAGUGAACAGAAUAGUCAAAAGAGACAUCUGAGCAGAGGCAGAGGAGGCUGUGAAUGCGGACAGGCUGGUCUGCUUUCCAACCCAGCACAGACACACAUCGCCCCUGUCCUUGAGUUCUUGACCGGGUCUGGCCUCAGCUUCCUCGUCUGUGCAGCGUCCCAUGGCAGGCUGGGAAGGCGACCGGAGAGAAUAUAAGUGAGCCCCGCGGCAGAGUAGGCGCAACGGUGUUGGUGCAGUGCUCUGGAAGGCUCAGGGCCACGUCUCCAAGGUGCCCACCAACCUCCGGGCUCCGUGCUCAGUGCCCUGUGGAUCCGCGCAGCCAGCUCUCCAGAGGCGGGCACAGCGCCCCCAUGCGGCAGACAUGAGGAUCGCUCCCACUUUACAGAUGGGGAGACUAAGACUACGUCCCUGGCGGGAGCACCCCAGCCUGCGGCCACGUGGCUGAUGUCCUAGCCGUGCCCUUCAGCACAGCCUUCCUGUGACUGUGCACCCGGAGGAGCACUCUCAUUCAGCUCGUGAGCCGAGCCUCUUCAUGUGCCAGACGCUGACCGAGGGACCGUAAUUAUAGGGCCCUGGACAGAACAGAAGGAGGACUUGGCCCAGCUGAGCUGAGCAGGGCACCCGGCCCACCUGCAGCGAUGGCCUGACUUCCUGAAGAGUGACCGGACAGGGACAAAGCUCUCAGGCGUAGAAGUCAGGGUCACCCUCCACUCUAUGGCAGGGAUGUUUGAACCCGAAUGAAGUGAGGAGCAGGCCCACAGGAUCUGGGGAGGUCAGGAAGGCAGAGAAAAAAGCAAGCGCCAGCGCCGAGGUCUGCGCUGUGGGAUGCAAGUCUCCACCGCUGCUCGGCGGAGGCCUGGGCUGCG